rnacentral:rRNA from 1 species
UACGUAGGGUGCAAGCGUUGUCCGGAAUUAUUGGGCGUAAAGAGCUCGUAGGCGGUCUGUCGCGUCGGCUGUGAAAACCCGGAGCUCAACUCCGGGCCUGCAGUCGAUACGGGCAGACUGGAGUUCGGCAGGGGAGACUGGAAUUCCUGGUGUAGCGGUGAAAUGCGCAGAUAUCAGGAAGAACACCCGUGGCGAGGGCGGCUCUCUGGGACGGUACUGACGCUGAGACGCGAAAGCGUGGGGAGCGAACAGG